CCCGUUCCCAUUCCGAACACGGUCGUUAAGCCCUCCAGGGCCGAUGGUACUGGGGCGUUACCGCCCUGGGAGAGUAGGUCGGUGCCCGGG
rnacentral:rRNA from 2 species